ensembl:lncRNA
GUUUGAAAUAUUUUAUGGGGAUCAAAGACGGGAAAAGCCAGACUAGUGAAGACGUUAUGAGACAGGAGAACAAGGAAUUCAUUGGUGACAUCAGUGAGAGUGCGUUCAGUGCAGUGGUGUGGGAAAAGCCUGGAAAGACUGGUUGAACUGUUUCGGAGCCAAAGUGCUGCAUGUGAUGCGUGUUUGCAUUAAUAAUUCUUAGAGGAGUUUUACUCAAAUAGACCCAAAAAGUGAUGCUCCAAAGGGAAGGAGCAAUGGGAUCUAGGAGACUUUUAGGGUGGGAAGGAUGUCUGUAGUUUUAUGAAGCUGGGAGCAAUCUAAGAAGAAACAGACGCUCUGAUGAUGUAGGACGAGAGACUCGCGAGCUGCUGAGUGCAUUUGUGAGCGUGAGAGCAAACACGUGCUCAUGUGCGUGAGGGAGUUGUGGCCUUGGGACAAAAGUGUGGUCCGCUUGCCUACCAUGAUGACAAGAAGACGAUGAAGGUGGGGCAGGGAGAAACUGAGAAGGUAUCUGAAAGCCAUUGAACCUCUCCGGAGAACAGCUGCUAUAAAUCAUCGGCUGCUGUUCCAGCAUUAAACUGGCAGUGUUGGGAAAACGUGUCGUUUACAGUGAGGAUGCUUGUAAUCUUCUGGUCACUGUGUGUUGAAUAAUAGAUAGGUGACUAUCCCUUCAGCAAAGAAAAUAAGAGGGAAAUGCAUUUUUCUAGAGUUAUGCAUUUUUCAGAAAAGGACUGAGCCAUCGGCCCCUCAACAUCAGCCUUGCAUAAAAGAAGGCCCGACAGGAUCAAUUACGUUCACUUGUUGACUCAUCCUAUUAAAAUGUCUUCAGGCCUCUAGGAGAAGAUGAGCCCAAAAUGCACCCUCAUCAAAGAGAAAAUUGAUGGAUGAAAAUAGAUCAGCCAGCCAAAUUGGGUCUGAGAGGCAAGACUAGAGAUUGGAAGGACUUAAUCUGAAAAUCACAAAAUACUGAUGCUAAAAAGGAGCUGACUGUAUCUUUCCAUUUGUUCCCUUAUGUCUUAAAAAAAAAUACUUUUCUUCCUUAAUGCCUUACAAUGUAUGUAUCCAAAUAGCUUUGUUUCUUUCAAAGUAGUUGCCUUUGCAGCUUAGCACUUAUCCUAGUGCUAUUCACAUGAGCUGCUUUUGAUAACUUAUGUGGAAUCAUUUUGCACCUCCCAGCAUCCCAGUACAUCUCCUUCCAGAGGGAUUUACUUUCUAGAAACUAUCAGGUGUUCUGAGUCAAGGGCUAACAAAUAACAUGGUGGAUCAGAUAGGAAAUUUGAAAUUUUAAAGAGGCCUGAUUUUCUAGUCGAGUGUAAAUUAAAUCUACAAUUUGCCAAGUUGAUAUGAGAUGUAAAAAGUCACUAGUAUGUAAUUGUAGCCGCUUGUAUCUGAAUUUCCCCUUAAUUAGAAAUAGCUUUAUGUCAUUUUUUCUGCUUAUGUCUUAAAAUGUAUACAGAAAACAUACAGAUCGAGUGUAAUCUCACUGCCAAGAGGUAACUGUGAUUUAUGUUUUUGCAUCUAUCUUUUUAAAUUUUUCUUUGUUCAUGUAGAGUUCAAAAUGAAUACUUUUCUUUUGUAAAUGGGAUUAUAAUAAUUUAGCUUGUCAUUUAUGUUAAAUGAGUGCCAUUCUCUGUCAGAUAUAGAAUUAGACGUUUUUAAUGGCUGCCUGAUGUUGUAGAGAGGAUUCAAAAUGUAACCAGCACCCUCCUGAUGGACACUUAAGUGGUAUCCAAAAUGUUGCUAUUAUAAACAUUACCAGGAAGUUGCUGUCCUUCCCAAUUCUGUUAUUUACAAACAGGCCUUAACCUGUUCUGCCUAUUCACUCAUCCUCCCACAGGCUUUCUUCUUGAGGGAACAUGUUUUUGAAGAAUGUCUGAUUUAGGGACUGUCCAUAGUCAUCAUUUUUUAAUCUCAAAGUUCAAAUUAAAAUGGUCCCUCUGUGUCCAGCCUUGGUGUGGAUAGUGGCAGUUCUCAUCCCAAUGUUGGCCUCUUGGCCAGGAGAAGAAAAAUUGUGUUAAAAAAAAAGUUUGCCCGAGUCACAGUCCUAGCCAUCUGUCCCCUUGGGAACCCAGGGGACACAUUUGAACAUGGCCAUGCUCUCCAGGCUCACAUGAUAGGGUGUGAGAAUUCAUCUGAGGAAAAAAAUAGAGGAAAUGGCUUACACAUCGUCUAAUCUAUCCUCUGCCUUCUGUAAUGAGAUGACCAGGUUCCAGGAAGGCGAAGUCCUCCAGUCACUGCGUGUAGCAGCACCUCAUAGAUCUGGAGAUCCAGGUUCACGCCUUCAUCAGACUCCCUGGAUCCCUGGUGACAGCAUUCUGUGAGCACAAGUAGUCAAAGGCUAAGACUGCAUUUUGGAAAACAGAGUUCCAACAUUUAACUCAUUGGAUUAUUUAAAGACCAUAGUAUAUAGUGACUUCUGGAUAGUUUUUUGUUUGUUUUUGUUUGUUUUUUUCCAGCAGUAGUGGGAGGUAGCAGCAACUGCAGAGGAGCAGUUAUUGUUAUCAUGGAAACUGUUGCUGUGGUGGCCGUGCCGUAGUGACAGCUCUUGUGGUUGUGUAGUUUCAGCAGUGGUAGAGAGGAAGUGUAUGGCGCUAGCAAUAGCUCUUGUAAGAGAAAUAGGCACUGUUUGUGGCCGUUGUUAACACACGGCUGCUGUUGAUGUUAUAGGAGUCACUGCCCAUUGUGGUAUAAUGUGGGCAGAACUCAGGCUAGCUUCCCUACUGUUUCUUUCAUUUUACCUGUCUUACUGAGGUUUCCAACUCAUUAUUUUGAACCCGACGUUAAAGGCAGAGUUCUCUCUGAGAUCCGUGUCCACCAAGCUUCUGUGGGGAUACAAAUCCUCAUUUAGUUCUCUGAUGGAGGAGAGCCAAGUCACACCUGCCUGUAGCUCACAUCACAUCCUCAGUUGUCAGGUGCCCCCGCUCCCAGGGAAACUCAUGUGUGUUUGAAGCUGUUGGAGUGGCCGUAUGUUUAAAGAAUGAAGUGAAAAUGAUGUUUAUGACACUGAUUUUUUCUUCUUCACCUUUUCUAUUUGCUUUCUUGACAAAGUGGAUUCCUUAGGUAAAGUGUGUGUGGCUUUAAAUUUUUAAAGGGAAAAGAGGAGAAAAAAGUGUCCAUAGGCAGGCAAUCAAUUAGAAUUCUCACAAAUAUAACAAGUGGAUCACAUCUGAGGAUACAUUUUCAAGUCUUGUGUAUGGAUUUAUUUAUUGACUCCCCACUGAUUAAAAGGAAAAACACUGAUAAAUUACAACACAACUUUUUUGUUUUAAUUAAGGGCUAGACAUCCACUUGAGAUGCUCAAAAUCAAAUUAUAUUUUUUCUUAACCGUACUCAGAUAACCAUUCCAAAGGAGAAAAUAAUUACCUAACCUUCUAAGAAAGCUUGCAGAACUACCAUACAACGAUUUUCACUUGAAAUAUUCACAUCCAAGCUUCCUCCAAUUCUUCUGCGGUGAUUCAGCAUCCAAAAUGGUUGUAAGCAGUGACGUCAGUGUUUGCUUAAUGUUCAUUAUGUGCCACGCAUUGUGCUAGCGAUCUUUCCUUAUGCUGUGCCUCUGUCCAGAACAGUGGUUUUAAUCUGGGCGUGAUAUGGCCCCCAGGAGAUACAUGGUGGGAUUUUUGGUUGUCACAACUGGAAUGAGUACUCUGGCAUCUAGUAGAAAGGGGUCAGGGAUGCUCCUGAACAUUCUAUCAACAAGAAAUUGCACUAGCUUUUUACCAUUAAAAAAAAAAAAUUAAGCUAUUGAAAAUUCAAAACAAAAAUGCAGUGCAUCUAUUGUGUGCCAUAUUAACAUUCUUAACUAUACAAUUAAAUAUAAAAAUGAUAUGGAAUAUUUGAAAAUUAAAAAGAAACUAAAUAAACAAAAUAAAUCUAAUUUACUUUCAUUCCUUCAAGCUUCCUAGAUGUUGUGUUUUAAUUUUUGAUUGAAGGACAUUGCUAUACAAUGUUUUGUUGGUUUCUGAUAUACAACA